rnacentral:rRNA from 1 species
CCCGACUGCUAUUUGGGUGAGGAUAAGCCAUGCGAGUUGAAUGGGAUACCUAAAUUUCCCAUGGCAAACUGCUCAGUAACACAUGAUCAACUUACCCUAUAGAGAAAAAUAACCUCGGGAAACUGAGGAUAAUAUUUCAUAGUUGAAUAGGCUUGGAAAAGUUUUUCAAUAAAAGGGAUAAAAAAAAUGGUUUUUAUCUGCUAUAGGAUAGGAUCGUGGACGAUUAUGGUUGUUGGUGAGGUAACGGCUCACCAAGCCGAUAAUCGAUAGGGGCCGUGAGAGCGGGAGCCCCGAGAUGGGUACUGAGACAACGACCCAGGCCUUAUGAGGCGCAGCAGGCGCGAAACCUCCGCAAUACACGAAAGUGUGACGGGGUUACCCAAAGUGUUCUAUUUAGAACUGUGGUAGGUGAGUAAUGUUCCCUACUAGAAAGGAGAGGGCAAGGCUGGUGCCAGCCGCCGCGGUAAAACCAGCUCUUCAAGUGGUCGGGAUAAUAUUGGGCUUAAAGUGUCCGUAGCCGGUUUAGUAAGUUCCUGGUAAAAUCGGGUAGCUUAACUAUCUAUAUGCUAGGAAUACUGCUAUACUAGAGGGCGGGAGAGGUCUGAGUACUACAGGGGUAGGGGUGAAAUCUUAUAAUCCUUGUAGGACCACCAGUGGCGAAGGCGUCAGACUGGAACGCGCCUGACGGUGAGGGACGAAAGCCAGGGGAGCGAACCGGAUUAGAUACCCGGGUAGUCCUGGCCGUAAACGAUGCAUACUAGGUGAUGGCACGGCCAUGAGCCGUGUCAGUGCCGUAGGGAAACCGUUAAGUGUGCCGCCUGGGAAGUACGGUCGCAAGGCUAAAACUUAAAGGAAUUGGCGGGGGAGCACCACAAGGGGUGAAGCCUGCGGUUCA